AUGGAUGAUGCCUUCAAAUUCAUUAUCAAGAAUGGAGGCCUUACUAUGGAGUCAAGCUACCCAUAUACUGCAGCUGACGGCAAGUGCAAGGCUGGAUCCAACAGUGUCGCAACCAUCACCGGCUUUGAGGAUGUGCCUGCCAAUAACGAGGGUGCCCUUAUGAAGGCGGUGGCAAACCAACCAGUGUCUGUAGCUGUGGACGGAGGAGACAUGACGUUCCAAUUCUACUCUGGUGGGGUGAUGACUGGGUCCUGCGGCACUGACUUGGACCAUGGAAUUGCAGCCAUUGGAUAUGGAAAGACUAGUGAUGGCACGAGCUAUUGGUUGAUGAAGAAUUCAUGGGGCACAACUUGGGGCGAAGAUGGGUACUUGAGAAUGGAGAAAGACAUUGCAGACAAGAAGGGCAUGUGUGGUCUUGCCAUGGAGCCUUCUUACCCAACAAAAUAG
rnacentral:rRNA from 1 species